UGGGGAAUAUUGCACAAUGGGCGAAAGCCUGAUGCAGCCAUGCCGCGUGUGUGAAGAAGGCCUUCGGGUUGUAAAGCACUUUCAGCGAGGAGGAAAGGUCAGUAGYUAAUAMYUGCUGGCUGUGACGUUACUCGCAGAAGAAGCACCGGCUAAUUUAGUGCCAGCAGCCGCGGUAAUA
rnacentral:rRNA from 1 species